rnacentral:rRNA from 1 species
AUUGAACGCUGGCGGCAGGCCUAACACAUGCUAGUCGAACGAGUGGCUGUCGGGUGAGUUAUGUCUGUGAAACUGCCCGAUGGAUGGUGAUAACUACUGGAAACGGUAGCUAAUACCGCAUACCAUCAGAUGUUCCCAGUUGGGAUUAGCUUGUUGGGGGGGUAACGGCUCAACCAGGCGAUGUUCCCGAGCUGGUCUGAGUGGAUGACCAGACACGCUGGAGCUGAGGCACGGUCCGGGAUCCUACGGCAGGCAGCAGUGGGGAAUAUUGCAAAAUGGGAGCGAGCCUGAUACAGCCGUGCCGAGUGAAUGAAGAAGGCCUUCGGGUUGGAAAGAACUUUCAGCGGGGAGGCGUAACCCGCACACGAAGCACCGGCUAGCUCCGUGCCAGCAGCCGCAGUAAUUC